UACGUAGGGGCAAGCGUUGUCCGGAUUUAUUUGGGCGUAAAGGCUUGUAGGUGGCCACGCCAAGUUCGGAUGUGAAAUCUCCCGGCUACAACUGGGGAGGGGUCAUUCGACUACUGGCGGGCUCGAGGCCGGCAGGGGAGAGCGGAACUCCUGGUGUGAGCGGUGGAAUGCGCAGAUAUCAGGAAGAACACCGGUGGCGAAGGCGGCUCUCUGGGCCUUACCUGGACGCUGAGGAGCGAAAGCCAGGGGAGCAAAGCGGG
rnacentral:rRNA from 1 species